rnacentral:rRNA from 1 species
AGACAGGUGCUGCAUGGCUGUCGUCAGCUCGUGUUGUGAAAUGUUGGGUUAAGUCCCGCAACGAGCGCAACCCUUAUCCUUUGUUGCCAGCGGUCCGGCCGGGAACUCAAAGGAGACUGCCAGUGAUAAACUGGAGGAAGGUGGGGAUGACGUCAAGUCAUCAUGGCCCUUACGACCAGGGCUACACACGUGCUACAAUGGCAUAUACAAAGAGAAGCGACCUCGCGAGAGCAAGCGGACCUCAUAAAGUAUGUCGUAGUCCGGAUUGGAGUCUGCAACUCGACUCCAUGAAGUCGGAAUCGCUAGUAAUCGUAGAUCAGAAUGCUACGGUGAAUACGUUCCCGGGCCUUGUACACACCGCCCGUCACACCAUGGGAGUGGGUUGCAAAAGAAGUAGGUAGCUUAACCUUCGGGAGGGCGCUUACCACUUUGUGAUUCAUGACUGGGGUGAAGUCGUAACAAGGUAACCGUAGGGGAACCUGCGGUUGGAUCAC